rnacentral:rRNA from 1 species
UACGGAGGGUGCAAGCGUUAUCCGGAUUCACUGGGUUUAAAGGGUGCGUAGGUGGGCUAGUAAGUCAGUGGUGAAAUCUCCGGGCUUAACCCGGAAACUGCCAUUGAUACUAUUGGUCUUGAAUUCAGUUGAGGUGGGCGGAAUGUGUCGUGUAGCGGUGAAAUGCUUAGAUAUGACACAGAACACCAAUUGCGAAGGCAGCUCGCUAAACUGACAUUGACGCUGAGGCACGAAAGCGUGGGGAUCAAACAGG